rnacentral:rRNA from 1 species
AGAGUUUGAUCAUGGCUCAGAAUCAACGCUGGCGGCGCGCCUAACACAUGCAAGUCGAACGAGAAAGUGGAGCAAUCCAUGAGUACAGUGGCGUACGGGUGAGUAACACGUGGGUAAUCUACCUCUUAGUGAGGAAUAACCCUGGGAAACCGGGGCUAAUACCGCAUAAGCCUGAGAAGGGAAAGCAGCAAUGCGCUGAGAGAGGAGCCCGCGGCCGAUUAGCUAGUUGGUGGGGUAAGAGCCUACCAAGGCAGAGAUCGGUAGCCGGCCUGAGAGGGCACACGGCCACACUGGCACUGAAACACGGGCCAGACUCCUACGGGAGGCAGCAGUGGGGAAUCUUGCACAAUGGGGGAAACCCUGAUGCAGCGACGCCGCGUGAGCGAUGAAGCCCUUCGGGGUGUAAAGCUCUUUCGUCAGGGAAGAUAGUGACGGUACCUGGAGAAGCAGCUGCGGCUAACUACGUGCCAGCAGCCGCGGUAAUACGUAGGCAGCAAGCGUUGUUCGGAGUUACUGGGCGUAAAGGGUGUGUAGGCGGUUCUUUAAGUUUGGUGUGAAAUCUCCCGGCUUAACCGGGAGGGUGCGCCGAAUACUGAGGGACUAGAGUACGGGAGAGGAAAGUGGAAUUCCUGGUGUAGCGGUGAAAUGCGUAGAUAUCAGGAGGAACACCGGUGGUGUAGACGGCUUUCUGGACCGUAACUGACGCUGAGACACGAAAGCGUGGGUAGCAAACAGGAUUAGAUACCCUAGUAGUCC